UACGAACUGUGCGAACGUUAUUCGGAAUCACUGGGCUUAAAGGGUGCGUAGGCGGUUAUCUAAGUCACGUGUGAAAUCUUCCGGCUCAACCGGAAAACUGCGCGUGAUACUGGACGACUUGAGUGAGGUAGGGGUGUGUGGAACUUCCGGUGGAGCGGUGAAAUGUGUAGAGAUCGGAAGGAACGCCAGCAGCGAAAGCGGCACACUGGGCCUUUUCUGACGCUGAGGCACGAAAGCUAGGGGAGUGAACGGG
rnacentral:rRNA from 1 species